UCAAGAUUAACGAACGGUAGCCUCUUGAUUCGGCAGUCCUUUAGAAAGAGAUUCAUGGUUCAAUACCAACAAAAAGCUCCACAAAAUUCCAAACGCCUCUAUCGGGAUGCACAUCUUUGUGAGCUGUUAAAUCGCUUCACAAUCCAUGGAUGCAGAAUACUGAUGACCUAGAGGUGGAGAAAAAUCAAAAACAAAGAAAAAGGAACAAGAGAUAUGGAGGUACAGUAGAGGAGAAUGGAAAUGGAGGCAGA
rnacentral:misc_RNA from 1 species